GUUCAGUAUCAUGUCCCUCGGUGUUUGCAUUGUGGUCGCUGGGCUACAGGUGUGGCACCUCAAGGGCUACUUCCACAAGAAGAAGCUUAUUUAAACCGAAUCUCACCAUUGUCCUUUUAGCUGAGUUGGUCGGUUUACUAUAUGAAGAGAUCUCAGAACUGGUAUUUGUGUUACAGAUUUUGGUUGUAUCUAAAUUUUAGUAUGGCAUAUU
rnacentral:misc_RNA from 1 species